rnacentral:tRNA from 1 species
UAAAAAAAAGCGAUAUAAUUGCAUUAAGUUUCGACCUUAAUUUAGAAUUAUUUUUUAUUCUUUUUUAA